rnacentral:rRNA from 1 species
AGAGUUUGAUCCUGGCUCAGAACGAACGCUGGCGGCGUGCUUAACACAUGCAAGUCGAGUGCGCGGUUGUAGCAAUACAACUGGCGCACGGCGCACGGGUGCGUAACACGUGGGUAAUCUGCCCUCUGAUGGGGAAUAACCCGCCGAAAGGCGGGCUAAUUCCGCAUAAUAUUCCGAGAACUUCGGUUUUUGGACUGAAAGGCGUAAGUCGUCGGAGGAGGAGCCCGCGCCCGAUUAGCUAGUUGGUAGGGUAAUGGCCUACCAAGGCUUUGAUCGGUAGCUGGUCUGAGAGGAUGGCCAGCCACACUGGAACUGAGACACGGUCCAGACUCCUACGGGAGGCAGCAGUGGGGAAUCUUGCACAAUGGGCGAAAGCCUGAUGCAGCGACGCCGCGUGGGGGAUGAAGCUUCUCGGAGUGUAAACCCCUUUCGAUCCGGACGAAUACCUCGCAAGAGGGGUGACGGUACGGAUAUAAGAGCCCCU